GAGCUUGGGAUAACCCUGCGAAAGCGGGGCUAAUACCGGAUAAGACCACAUGUCAUAUGCCAUGUGGUAGAAGGUGGCUUGUAUUUAUAUGAGCUAUCACUUGAGGAUGAGUCCAUGGCCUAUCAGCUUGUUGGUGAGGUAAAAGCUCACCAAGGCUAUGACGGGUAGCUGGUCUGAGAGGACGACCAGCCACACUGGGACUGAGAUACGGCCCAGACUCCUACGGGAGGCAGCAGUGGGGAAUAUUGGGCAAUGGGCGCAAGCCUGACCCAGCGACGCCGCGUGGGUGAUGAAGGCCUUCGGGUUGUAAAACCCUUUCGUGCGGAAAGAACAGUCUCGUAGCGAAUACCUACGGGAUUUGACGGUACCGCAGGAAGAAGCACCGGCUAACUCCGUGCCAGCAGCCGCGGUAA
rnacentral:rRNA from 1 species